rnacentral:rRNA from 1 species
CCGGAGUUGCUAGUAAUCGCGAAUCAGAAUGUCGCGGUGAAUGCGUUCCCGGGUCUUGUACACACCGCCCGUCACACCAUGGAAGUUGGGGGUGCCCAAAGCCGGCAAGCAAAUAUGCUGUCUAAGGCAAAACCAAUGACUGGGGUGAAGUCGUAACAAGGUACC